GAAAUGCGAUAAGUAAUGUGAAUUGCAUAAUUCAGUGAAUCAUCGAAUCUUUGAACGCACAUUGCGCCCGCCAGUAUUCUGGCGGGCAUGCCUGUCCGAGCGUCAUUUCAACCAUCAAGCCCCCGGGCUUGUGUUGGGGACCUGCGGCUGCCCGCAGGCCCUGAAAACCAGUGGCGGGCUCGCUGUCACACCGAGCGUAGUAGCAAUCACCUCGCUCAGGGCGUGCUGCGGGUUCCGGCCGUUAAACAGCCUUACAAAACCCAAGGUUGACCUCGGAUCAGGUAGGAAGACCCGCUGAACUUAAGC
rnacentral:misc_RNA from 1 species